UAGAGUGUCCAUCCUGAAACUGGAAGUGCAAAUCCAAGAUGGGUCAUGCCAAAUAAUCUAAAGAUGGGACCCAAUCCCUGCUUUUCAAAAUCAGCAUUAAGGGGUUGGAUUGGUGGGUUAAACUACCAAAUAGUUCCCAAGUGCAGCUUUGUCUGCAGCUAAUGGAACUUUAAUGUAAUAAAGAAUAUUCAGAAUUUUCUUUAUAUAUUUCCUUUAUCAUGAGAAAAAUGCAACAAAACCAUUUUUAAAAAGACUAAAACCACAAUUUUUAUUGGAGUGGAUCUUUAAAGCAACACAACAAAGAGAAGAGCUGAUCAUUGAUGUGAACAAAAAGAUGCAAGAAUCAGAAACAAGCAUAAAGGUGCAAUCAAGAAAACAGAACCAGGUGUGGUGAUUGGUAACUGAAACCAGGUGUGAUCAGCAGGGCAGAAACAGAACUGAGCUCAAAAACAACAAGCAACAAAACUUAGAUCCUCACAUAUGUGGAUAUUUUUUUAUUUUUAAUACUACAGAGACUACUACUUUAAAUGUAAAAUCAGACUAAAUUGUUUGGAAGCAAAUGGAUCUGCUUAAAGUUUCAAAGUGGUUUGGCAUAAGGCGUAUUCAGGAGGCAAGAAGGAGCCUGGAUACAAUCACAGACAUCACCCUGAUUCACACAGCUUUUUGAGGGGUGACAAAGUGCGACAAGCUCCAAAGAGGAAAUGAUGAACACAGAGAGGCCUUUGAUGGAGUCAUUGACUGUGAGAGGUAUCUGGGAUGAAGAGUGUGGAUUCAGACUUGCAGCUCGGAGGGGAGGAGGGGAGAACAAAGAAGACCCAUCCUCGCCUGAGGUACACAAUAACUCAUCACUGUCACAGCUUUGAGUCAUCUUAGUCAUAUGUAUGAAAAACAUUACGAUGCAAAGAUAAACUGAUGGAUGAGGCUAGUACACCUGGAGCAGUGACUUUCACAUGUUUAUCACUAUAGUGUGAGGAGAACUUCAAUUCUAAAAGUGUGGUAGAUAAAUAGUUUGUGUCGC
rnacentral:lncRNA from 1 species